rnacentral:misc_RNA from 1 species
AUAGCCUGGUCUUCCCCUUAAUGAUUCUUCCUUUUCAGGGUCUUUUAUUGAACCUUUUCCUCUAAUAUACACCCGACACCCUGUAGAAGCUUCCACUCGCUUCAACGAAUUGCCCCUAGGUCCCAAAAGCCGGCCUACAAAAUUGAACUAAAAUCCGGAAAGAAAUCAAAUGUUAUACUUAUUAAUCCAUAUUGUACGAAAACCCAAAAUCUUAUGGAAGUAUAAAUUUUUACACGGAUAUCAAUGUAAAGCAUCCCAAGUAGAAUAUAUAACUUACAUUUGGAUAACUAUCAACAGGAAUAUCCAAACGCAAGAUUUUCUUCACAAUAUAAGAACUUGGGCUUGCUGGUGCUGCUUGCCAGUUCAUAUUCAUCCCCUGCAGUCCUAAUCUCUGCCAUAUAAUGAACAUGAUGUCAUACUAUAGUAACUGGAAUUAAUAUAUUUAUUGGAAUUAGAAAGAGGAAAAAGAGCCAGCAAGAUCAAGGAAAAAUGGGAAGCAAAGUCAUUGCAACUCAUGUAUACAGGUAUACAAUACAAGUGAUAUGCAAGAUACAUCCACUUUGCAAGUAAUGAUGAUGAGCACUAGCAGUAUUGGUUUGACCAGCAAGCCAUGUUAUGCAGCGUUAUGAUGGAGCAAGGACCAAUGUACGUGAAAUGAGAAACCAUGACAGACACUGAAAACUUUUGUCCAAUUGAAGAAUACUCACUUGCUAACUGGAGCAAAAUUUAUACAUCCCUCAAACCACCAAGACAUAGGUUCUUGAAGAAAGUAGAAAGAUUUGCCAAGCAGCCUUCUAAAACAAACCAUAACUUACAAUGUCUUAGUAAAAAGAGUACCUAGGCACAUCUCAUUAAGGAAAAUUGAUAUUGUACAAUAUAUAUCGACUUUGUUUCUUAUUUAAGACUUGUCAAAUUCUUGUUAAUUCACGCAAAUAAAUUUUCUGGGCUGGAACGUGUGAGUGAAUGUGAAUUAACCAUAUUAUUUUAGACAGAACAAGCAAUACAAACAGGAAUGCCAAUUGCUGAACUAAGGGACUGCAUUCAAAUUAGUUCCGAAAAACUUACCUCCUGUGGUAGUCCAUUCCACCCAAUGAUCCCUGUUCCGCUAUUAUUUGGCAAUAUGUCUGAAGAAGCCAUGGAGCUCAAGCUUCCACGUUGCAGUCUAUCAAAGUCAUUUAACCCCAGGUUGGGGAUCAUUCCAGAAACCCUCAAUAUCUCUGCUUACAUAGAAGAGUGAUAUGCUAAACUUUUUCCUUUCAAGAUCUCUUGAAUAAAAAAGAUGAAAAUUCAUAAACUGUUCACCAUUUUCUUUGUGAAGUUUGCGUAUUUAUAACUAAGAGGUCACAAAGAUAAGUAAAAUGAAGUGUGAACAACACAGAAAACUUACAUGUCAACAAGACAGCUAUUUAAAAUAAUCAUCAAACAAUUAACAAUAGAAGUUAAGAAAAAAUAUUUUUUUUUUGCAUAAUUUGAGAGUAGACACCACAUUGAGUUUUGAGACAUGUUCUCCACAAAUGUGAUCCCAUAAAUUCAAACUAGAAGAGGAGGAUUUAUGCAAUGAAAAUGUUGAUGAAGUUCAAUUCAAGGUACUAAAUUCAUAAUUUAACAAGAUAGACCACUUUGGACUCCUGCAGAACUGCAAUUUGUCAUAAUUUCUACUCCUGAAACUUGAUAUACCUGCAGAUCGUGAUCCACUUCAAUUGUGAUGACUGACCUUGGAAUGGACAAAUUAAUUAACCAGCCCUCCUAUCUCCUAUUAAUUUAACCAAGAUCAAUUAGAUAUGGCUCAAACAUACUUUGGCAUACACACUUCUGUUGACGACCAUAACAGUAUGAUGUUUUCAGCUCCAUUUUAAUUUCAAAUUCAUUAAGCAGAUAAUCAUCCAUCGCAUCAAACAAAUGAAAUAAGUCAUGAACUAACUAUUUAGAUUUCUUCACUAAAAUUACUUGUGUUUGGAAGAAGUAGCUUCAGCAAUUUACAAAUAAAAGAUUCAAGAAAGCUGUUUCCCAAAGAAUUGAUAGGUUCAAUGAAGUACAUAUUGCUGCACAACUCAGGCAAUUUUAUGUAAGCAUACUGAAAGGAUUAUAAAUAAAGAAACAAAGUAGAUCAUGUUUGUGGGAAAUUCAGGUUCAAUUUUCUCUUUUUACAAAUAAAAAAGAAGAGGGAAGGAUUAAACACCCUCAGCAUCAAAAUUAUAAACAAAGAAAUGAAAGAAUCGAUAUAGAUCAAAAUUAAAAAUCACCUUGAUUCAAAAGUCGGCUACAUAUAGGAAGGACUCGACCAAAAGGUACAAGCUUGUGGUGCUCUUCUAGCAGCUCUGUCAAAUACUGACCACUAUCAACAUCUGGGGUUGUUCUUAUAAGUGGAGACAGAGUUCUUGCAGGUGAAAAAUUCUGUGUGUAUGAGCCAGACAUGAAUAUGGUCUUCAAAGAAACACACAGAGAGACAAAGGGAAGAAGAAGAAGGGUAGGCAAAGUCCUGCCCCCUAAACAGUGAAAAGGAAAAGAAAAAGAGAGGA